UCCCUGGAGGCCUAGUGGCUAGGCCUCAGUGCUCUCACUGCCGCAGCCAGGGUUCGAUUCCUGGCCAGGGAA